ensembl:lncRNA
CCGUUUGGUUCUUUUGCCAUCAGAAUUAUUGUCUAAAGGCGAAGAAAGAUGCCCAACGGAUUUACUUUACCAAAUGGACCAUCCCAGCCUUGCUGUAAUGGUCCAUCUGAUUCACCUUUUAUUGUUUAUUUUAUUUUCGCUUGCUGAAUACGGGACAGACUUGACUGGGGGAAGGAAAGGGGAGAAAGAAAGAGGGAAAGAAAAACAGCAGGGAAGAGGGACGGGGAAAAAGGGCAAAAAACCAAAAACCAACAGAAUAAGCAGACAAAAAAUACAUAUAUCGAUCACCUGGAUCACCUGUUGAGAAAGAAAGAAGAAAGCAAGCAGAAGAAAACGAGAGUAAUAAACAUCAUCACAAUGAUAUAUGGGAAUAUGACAGUAAAUACUAAAUAUUAAACAUUAUUGUGCAGCACGUAAGAUCGACAGCGCACAGUGUGCUUUGAGGUUCCUUCAUGUAAUGAUCUGCUAGAGGGUGUGGGAGCCACUGCCCCGUCCUCCAGGGCAUGACGCAGGUAUGGAGGAGAUCAAAACUCCAGACGUCCAGAGGCCCCCAGAACACAAGAGACCAAGGAAGACCAACAGAGGGGCAGCCGCGUCACUAUCCCAGAAAGAGCUGAGGAGAGUCCCAGAUGAGGGGUCACUCAGCAGCCGCGGAGCAGAAGCCAGGGGGGGUUGCAGUGACGUGCCCGUGAGCUCCGCCGGCAGCCAGCUGUGCCUGAGUGACCGAGCUCCGGGCCGAGAGGCCGAGGGCACCCUGCCUCCGAAGUGGCCCGAGCGAUGUGCAUCAGUGUUACAGUGACAGGGGUCUGCAUCGUCUAAAAGUUACAUUUAUUAAGGUAAACUAUGAUAUAUAUCCCACAGUGAGACCACCCUGAACAUGCCCGCCUACACAAGUGACAUAGUGCUAGGUUUUUCACUUCUCUUUACAAGCUGCAGAGGUCGCCGCUGCUCAGGAAGCUGCAGGGGAGAAUGUAGGCCAUAUAUAUGAACAAGUUCUCAAAAUCAAAAAAUAAAUAUAUUUUAUUCAAAUGAACUAAACUCUUUAAUUAUGAAAAUGAAUAGGUGAACCCAAAACAGAUGACAAAUAUAGAAACUGAAACAAACUCUCAAAUAAAGUCCAAAUACAUCAAAAUUACACCUAAAAAGGGCAACACUGACAAAUAAAUGCAAAAAACCCCAGUAGGAAUCUAUUAAUUAACCAUUAGAUUUUGAAAAUGUAGAAUAAUAAACUGCUU